AUUUUUUAUUUUUUUUUUUUAUGAUGCUCUACUAUGUUCUAAAAAAAUCUACAUACGUAGAAGUAGAACUUUUUAGUUCUACCGUUCUACCAAAUUUACAUCAAAAAAAAUAUUAAAUAUUACCGAAUACCGAAGUAGAUUCUGCAGAUUGUAUUGUAUUGUAUUCUAGGAUUUCAAAAAUGAACGACCAAGAUACCAAAUCAUCAGAUGGAGCUAUUUCACCGUUAUCCGAAGAUCUUCUUCAACUUCAGCUUCAGAACAAGGAAGAACAAAAUCCAAAAGUUGACGAACCUGAUAAAAUCGAAUUGCCGAGACAGAAAUCACCAUUAGAAAUGGAAAGAAUAGAAAGAUUCCAAGCCAGACUUAGUGCCUACAAUCGUGGAUUGGGUUUAUUGCGAAAGAGAAAUAUCGACAUGUUCAGCCCAAUGCAACUUCAGGAAAAACCUUUGACUAUAUAUACAUGGACUACUAUCUUCAUUGUUGCCGAUGAAGCCGAAGUAAUAGAGGUACUAGAUCGGGAGCAUCGGGAAUUUUCAUGCGCGCGCAGGAAUCCCACCCACCCUCGCACCUUCCAAUCAAGAGCUCUGUUCUAUUCGCUACUCCGAGUAGCUCUGUGUACUCUCGUGAUUUUCUCCGGAACCGAUAAAAGAGUAGAGAGAGUAGGGGAAAUGAGUCUUCGAAAAGAACACAAAUCCAAGAACACCUUGUAAAACAACUAAAUUUCAACAAAAAAAAGAAAAUAAACACUCGUAAAACGGAAUGUCGGAAUACUGAUUGUAAAAAAAAAAAAAUGUCGCCUUAAAAAGUCUGCUCUUUUUACUCUACUCCUUCUGCACUUCCUUUUCAGCAGGUGUAGAAAAACCUGCUCUAGAGCAGCUCUUUUGACUCUACUCCUUGCGAAAAGAACGAUUAGACGGAUUACUCCGAGUAAAAAUGUGCCAAUAGAACACAGUAUUGCUGCUCGAAGCAACUCGGAGUUGCUCGGAGCAGCGAAUAGAACAGAGCUAUGGUGAACCAAGGUUGGCUACGCUCGUUGCAACGAAAUCUCGCGCAUGCUCAGAGCCCAUGUCCCGAUCUAGUACCUCUAUUGCUUUGGCUUCACGAUUCCCAUUCAACAACAAUAGGAGAUAGCAGUCCAUGUAUAUAUAGUCAAAGGGAAAAACAAAAUCCAGAAGUUGACGAACCUGAUGAAAUUUUUCAUAAUUCAAUUCUGUCAUUGCAAUUUCAGGAAAAACAAAAUCCAAAAGUUGACGAACCUGAUAAAAUCGAAUUGCUGAGACAGAAAUCACCAUUAGAAAUAGAAAGAAUAGAAAGAUUCCAAGCCAGACUUAGUGCCUACAGUCGUCACGUGGAUUUAUCCCGAAAAAGACAUACCGAAAUGUUCAGCCCAUUGAAAUUUUAGGAAAAACAAAAUUCAAAAGUUGACGAACUUGAAGAAAUCAAAUUGCAGAAAACAUAAGAAGAUUCGAAACUACAAUCGUAUGGUGGAUUCAUUGAAAAAGAGAGAACGGCCGAAAUGUUCAGCAUUUGAUUUAGGCAUUUAAAAAACAACGGCAGCGAUGAUAACUUUUGUCUCUUAUCAAUUAAAUAUUUCGAAGAAUUGAGGUUAUGUAAAAAAGGUUUUCUUUAGUAGCAUGUGAAUUUAUUCUCUGCAAAUUGAGUCUGCAAUUAGUGAUCCUGAAAUCAGUUAUACCGAUUAAUUUUAGAGAGCUGGUCGGAGUUUUUUAAAAAUUUCUUAUCACUAUAUAUUGUAUUUUUAUUAAGCUGGUCUCUCUUUUAGAAUAAUAUUUUCAUUUCUCAUCGCUGCGAAUUUUAUUUAUAGUUAUACCUAUUAUAUUAUAACGAGCUGAUCUUAAUUUUCAAAUUUUUUUCGUAUAUCACUGAAUUUGUAUUUUAUAUAAGCUGUUCAUUUAAAAAAUAAUAAACGCUAAUUUUACUAUAA